rnacentral:rRNA from 1 species
UACGUAGGGCGCAAGCGUUAUCCGGCAUUAUUGGGCGUAAAGAGCUCGUAGGCGGUUUGUCGCGUCUGCUGUGAAAACUGGGGGCUCAACCCCCAGCCUGCAGUGGGUACGGGCAGACUAGAGUGCGGUAGGGGAGAUUGGAAUUCCUGGUGUAGCGGUGGAAUGCGCAGAUAUCAGGAGGAACACCGAUGGCGAAGGCAGAUCUCUGGGCCGUAACUGACGCUGAGGAGCGAAAGCAUGGGGAGCGAACAGG